CCUACGGGAGGCAGCAGUCGAGAAUCAUUCACAAUGGGGGAAACCCUGAUGGUGCGACGCCGCGUGGGGGAAUGAAGGUCUUCGGAUUGUAAACCCCUGUCAUGUGGGAGCAAAUUAAAAAGAUAGUACCACAAGAGGAAGAGACGGCUAACUCGGUGCCAGCAGCCGCGGUAAUACAGAGGCCUCAAGCGUUGUUCGUAAUCACUGGGCUUAAAGCGUGCGUAGGCUGUUUCGUAAGUCGGGUGUGAAAGGCGCGGGCUCAACCCGAGGAUGGCAAAUGAUACUGUGAGACUAGAGUAAUGGAGGGGGAAGCGGAAGUCUUGGUGUAGCAGUGAAAUGCGUAGAUAUCGAGAGGAACACUCGUGGCGAAGGCGGGUUCCUGAACAUUAACUGACGCUGAGGCACGAAGGCCAGGGGAGCGAAAGGGAUUAGAUACCCUGGUAGUC
rnacentral:rRNA from 1 species